rnacentral:rRNA from 1 species
CAGCAGCCGCGGGAACACCAGCACCUCGAGUGGUCAGGAGGUUUAUUGGGCCUAAAGCAUCCGUAGCCGGUUGCAUAAGUUUUCGGUUAAAUCUAUGCGCUUAACGUAUAGGCCGCCGAAAAUACUGUGCAGCUAGGGAGUGGGAGAGGUACACGGUACUCGAUAGGAAGGGGUAAAAUCCUUUGAUCUAUUGAUGACCACCUGUGGCGAAGGCGGUGUACCAGAACACGUUCGACGGUGAGGGAUGAAAGCUGGGGGAGCAAACCGGAUUAGAGACCCCCGUAGUCCCUGUCUCUUAUAA